rnacentral:rRNA from 1 species
UUGAACGCUGGCGGCAGGCCUAACACAUGCAAGUCGAGCGGAUGAAGGGAGCUUGCUCCUGGAUUCAGCGGCGGACGGGUGAGUAAUGCCUAGGAAUCUGCCUGGUAGUGGGGGAUAACGUCCGGAAACGGGCGCUAAUACCGCAUACGUCCUGAGGGAGAAAGUGGGGGAUCUUCGGACCUCACGCUAUCAGAUGAGCCUAGGUCGGAUUAGCUAGUUGGUGGGGUAAGGGCCUACCAAGGCGACGAUCCGUAACUGGUCUGAGAGGAUGAUCAGUCACACUGGAACUGAGACACGGUCCAGACUCCUACGGGAGGCAGCAGUGGGGAAUAUUGGACAAUGGGCGAAAGCCUGAUCCAGCCACGCCGCGUGUGUGAAGAAGGUCUUCGGAUUGUAAAGCACUUUAAGUUGGGAGGAAGGGCAGUAAGUUAAUACCUUGCUGUUUUGACGUUACCAACAGAAUAAGCACCGGCUAACUUCGUG